GAAAUUGCUAUUAUGCCUCAGGAUUUGCUUUAUGGGCUGGUUGAUAGCGAGGAGGAUGAUAAGUUUGCCAGCUUAAAAUGUGUUGGGAUUGGGAGUCUUAUUUAUGUAUUCAAUGAGGAGUAUCACAAGAAGUACCCUGCUUGCAUUUGUGAGAUCACUAACGAGUCUGGCAAGUGUAGCUGGAGGAGAGUGCCCCAAUUGCCAUCACCUGUUAAUAAGUUUCACAAGGUUAUCAGCUUUUGUUCCACAGUUUUACCACAUAAUAUUUUCCUGGGUGAAGGGGAAGAAAUUGGACUGGUGGAGCCUAUGUCUUACUGACCAGCUUGUCUACUUG
rnacentral:misc_RNA from 1 species